UACGGAGGGUGCAAGCGUUAUCCGGAUUCACUGGGUUUAAAGGGCGCGUAGGCGGCCAGCACAAGUCAGUUGUGAAAUCUCCGAGCUUAACUCGGAACGGUCAACUGAUACUGUGCGGCUAGAGUGCAGAAGGGGCAACUGGAAUUCUUGGUGUAGCGGUGAAAUGCGUAGAUAUCGUAAGGAAGACCAGUGGCGAAGGCGGGUCUCUGGACAGUUCCUGACGCUGAGGCACGAAGGCCAGGGGAGCAAACGGG
rnacentral:rRNA from 1 species